UUGGCGGACGGGUGAGUAACGCGUGGGUAACCUGCCUUACACAGGGGGAGUAACACUUAGAAAUAGGUGCUAAUACCGCAUAAGCGCACAGUCCCGCAUGGGACAGAGUGAAAAACAUUAGUGGUGUAAGAUGGACCCGCGUCUGAUUAGCUUGUUGGCGGGGUAACGGCCCACCAAGGCGACGAUCAGUAGCCGGCCUGAGAGGGUGGACGGCCACAUUGGGACUGAGACACGGCCCAAACUCCUACGGGAGGCAGCAG
rnacentral:rRNA from 1 species